CUGCAUCACCAUACAUUCCAAGCUCACAGCAACAGUUGAGAAGAGAAUUGUAAAUAUCUUCACUGGGACACAUUCCUUGUUCAUUCAUAUGAUCAAACAACCUCUGAGCCACUCCCACGCGCCCCACUUUGCAAAGUCCUAUGAUGAGCUUUCCGUAUGUGUUAACAUUAGGUGAACAGCCACGUUCCAGCAUUUUAUCAAAAAGCUGCAGAGCAGUUUCAAAUUCCAUGGUCUUCCACACAUCGGCAACAUCAACAAAGGAGAUAUUUGGAACCAAAUCUAGUCCAGCAUUGUUGUUCUCCUUUAUUAGCUUUUCCCUAGAAAGAUGCUUGAUUAAAAAAGAAUAGGUAUGAUGAGAGGGAUCGCAGCCAGUAUCAAACAUUUGCUUAAGAACAUCAAAGGCUCGAUGUAAUAAUCCUAAACAUCCAUACGCAUCAAUUAACAAUGUGUAAGUCAGAGCAUCAGGCAUAACGCCACUUUCAACCAUUCUAGCCAUCAUAUCCUCUGCCUCUUUUAAAUUCCCUGUGCCACAAUAUGAAUGAACAAAUGCAGUGUAAAUAUACACAUCAGGCUGGUUUCCUGAGGAAAC
rnacentral:misc_RNA from 1 species